rnacentral:rRNA from 1 species
AACAUUUGAGUGAGUGGCGGACGGGUGAGUAACACGUGGGUAACCUGCCCUAAAGUGGGGGAUAACAUUUGGAAACAGAUGCUAAUACCGCAUAAAACCUAACACCGCAGGGUGUAGGGUUGAAAGAUGGUUUCGGCUAUCACUUUAGGAUGGACCCGCGGUGCAUUAGUUAGUUGGUGAGGUAAAGGCUCACCAAGACCGUGAUGCAUAGCCGACCUGAGAGGGUAAUCGGCCACACUGGGACUGAGACACGGCCCAGACUCCUACGGGAGGCAGCAGUAGGGAAUCUUCCACAAUGGACGAAAGUCUGAUGGAGCAACGCCGCGUGAGUGAAGAAGGUUUUCGGAUCGUAAAACUCUGUUGUUGGAGAAGAAUGUAUCUGAUAGUAACUGAUCAGGUAGUGACGGUAUCCAACCAGAAAGCCACGGCUAACUACGUGCCAGCAGCCGCGGUAAUACGUAGGUGGCAAGCGUUGUCCGGAUUUAUUGGGCGUAAAGCGAGCGCAGGCGGUUUCUUAAGUCUGAUGUGAAAGCCUUCGGCUCAACCGAAGAAGUGCAUCGGAAACUGGGAAACUUGAGUGCAGAAGAGGACAGUGGAACUCCAUGUGUAGCGGUGAAAUGCGUAGAUAUAUGGAAGAACACCAGUGGCGAAGGCGGCUGUCUGGUCUGUAACUGACGCUGAGGCUCGAAAGCAUGGGUAGCAAACAGGAUUAGAUACCCUGGUAGUCCAUGCCGUAAACGAUGAGUGCUAGGUGUUGGAGGGUUUCCGCCCUUCAGUGCCGCAGCUAACGCAUUAAGCACUCCGCCUGGGGAGUACGACCGCAAGGUUGAAACUCAGAGGAAUUGACGGGCGCCCGCACAAGCGGUGGAGCAUGUGGUUUAAUUCGAAGCAACGCGAAGAACCUUACCAGGUCUUGACAUCCUUUGACCACUCUAGAGAUAGAGCUUUCCCUUCGGGGACAAAGUGACAGGUGGUGCAUGGUUGUCGUCAGCUCGUGUCGUGAGAUGUUGGGUUAAGUCCCGCAACGAGCGCC